rnacentral:lncRNA from 1 species
CAAGAUGAAGGUUUUAAAUCCUUCGUUUCAAAAUUAAGUACACAGCUCUCUGGUAAUUCUUAAUUCCUUUCAAUUUCAAUUUUCAAUCUUAUUUAUUUCUAUAUUAAAUGACCUUUCUUGAAAUGGGAUUCAAUGGAUUAUUGAUUAAAUUAAUUAUGUAUGAAUUUUAUGAAGAAUGGCUUGAAGGUGGGAAACUGCAGAGAGUUGUACUGGUGAUCAUGAGCAAGGCCACUGGUGAAGUUUUAGAGGUGGAAUUUCAGUAUUGAGACUGAUAGAGAGGUCGUUGAUAAAAGGAUAAUUUAAUUUAAUCAAUGAUUCUGAUUCAGAAUAAUUUCUUUGGACAGGGAAAUGUUUGUGGUUUGGAUUUUGAUUUUGAUUUAUAGAGUUUCGAGGGAGAAGAGUGAUAAAGAAAUAAUGAGGGAAAUUCAAGCAAUUAUGAGACAGAUAGCUUCCAGCAUCACAUAUUUGCCUCGCCUUGAUGAAUUGUGUAAGUUUUUAAUUUGAAAUUGAGGUGACCUGCGAAGCACGGAUACUGCCAUUAGGGUGGCGUUUCAUGUCUAACACGAAUUCAACACUCGAUAUGAUUUGUUUUAGUUUUGUACAUAAUAAUCUAUUGUCGGAG